ensembl:lncRNA
GAUACCAAAACCUUUCCACGUAAACCCACAACAAAGAAUCAUCAAGUCCAACUCAUGGUAAAACAGGUCUAAAAAUAAUUCCUCCUCUACAACCACCACCUCCUCCUCCACCACCUCCUCCUCCACCACGGCCUAGAAAGAGGAUCUCUAAAGUCUCUUCCAACAAUAAUGAUUCAAUGUAUCCUCAUCCACCACAUAGAACCAUGGAAUAUCCCCUGUUGGAAGGGACCUAUAAGGAUCAUCAAUCCAACUCCUAGUAUCACAGGUCUAAAAAUAAUUCCUCCUCCAAAAACACCACCUACUCUAUGACAACCACCUGCACCAACACCAAAAACUAGAACGAUGACCUUAAACUCUUCCAAAAAUAAUGAUUGUAUGUGUCCUCCUCCACCACAUAGAAUCAUGGAAUAUCCCGAGUUGGAAGGGACACAUAAGGAUCAUCAAAUCCAACUCAUGGUACCACAGGUCUAAAAAUAAUUCCUCCACCACCAGCACCGCCUCCUGCACCACCGCUAGAACAAUGAUGUUUAAAGUCUCUUCCAACAAUAAUGAUUCUAUGUCUCCUCCUCCACCACAUAGAAUCAUGGAAUAUCCACAGUUGGAUGAGAAACCAAACGAUCAUCAAGUAAAACUCAUGGCACGAGAGAUCUAAAAAUAAUUGCUCCACCACCACCACCACCUCCUCCACCACCGCCUCCACCACCACCAAAACUGGAACGAUGACCUUGAAGAUCUCUUCCAACAAUAAUGAUUCUAUUUCUCCUCCUACACCACAUAGAACCAUGGAAUAUCCCAGGUUGGAUGAGAAACCUAAGGAUUAUCAUGUCCAGCUCAGGGAACCAGAGCUCUAAAAAUAAUUCCUCAACCACCACCACAACCACCACGACUACAUCCUCCACCACCGCCUCCUCCACCACCAAAAUCUAGAACGAUGACCUUGAAGGUCUCCUCCAACAAGAAUGAUUCUGUGUCUCCUCCUCCACCACAUAGAAUGAACUAAGUAAAACAUAGAAAAACUCAUGGUACCACAGGUAUAAAAAUUAUUCCUCCACCACCACCACCACCACCUCCUCCACGAACGCCUCCUCCACCACUGCUAUAAAAAUCAUCUUUUAAGUCUCUUCCAACGAUAAUGAUUCUAUGUCUCCUCCUCCACCACAUAGAUUCAUGGAAUAUCCACAGCUGGAUGAGAAACAUUAGGAUCAUCAAGUAAAACUCAUGGUACCACUGGUCUAGAAAUAAUUCCUCCACCACCACCACCACCUACUCCACCACCUAAAACUUGAACGAUGACCUUGAAGGUCUCUUCCAACAAUAAGAAUUCUAUGUCUCCUCCUCCACCACAUAGAAUCAUGGAAUAUCCACAGUUGCAUGAGAAACAUUAGGAUCAUCAAGUAAAAUUCAUGGUACCACAGGUAUAGAACUAAUUCCUCCACGACCACCACCACCUCCUCCACCACGGGCUCCUCCACCACCAAAAACUAGAACGAUGACCUUGAAGGUCUCUUCCAACAAUAAUGAUUCUAUGUCUCCUCCUCCACCGCAUAGAAUCAUGGAAUAUAAACAGUUGGAAGGGACAUAUAAGAAUCACCAAGUCCAACUCAUACUAACACAGGUAUAAAAAAAAUUAUUCCUCCACCGCCACCACAACCGCCUCCUCCACCACUGCUAUAGAAAUCAUAUUUUAAGUCUCUUCCAACAAUAAGGAUUCUAUGUCUCCUCCUCCACCACAUAGAAUCAUGGAAUAUCCACAGUUGGAUGAGAACCUUUAGGAUCAUCAAGUAAAACUCGUGGUACCACAGGUAUAAAAGUAAUUCCUCCACCACCACCAUCACCUCCUCCACCACCGCCUCCUCCACCACCAAAAACUAGAACGAUGACCUUGAAGGUCUCCUCCAACAAUAAUGAUUCUAUGUCUCAUCCUCCAACGCAUAGAAUCAUGGAAUAGAAAGAGUUGGAAGGGACAUAUAAGGAUCACCAAGUCCAACUCAUAGUAACACAGGUAUAAAAAAAAUUAUUCCUCCACCAUCACAGCCUCCUCCACCACUGCUAUAAAAAUCACCUUUUAAGUCUCUUCCAACAAUAAGGAUUCUAUGUCUCCUCCUCCACCACAUAGAAUCAUGGAAUAUCCACAGUUGGAUGAGAAAUAUUAGGAUCAUCAAGUAAAACUCAUGGUACCACAGGUAUAAAAGUAAUUCCUCCAGCACCACCAUCACCUCCUCCACCACCGCCUCCUCCAGCACCUAAACCUUGAACGAUGACCUUGAAGGUCUCUUCCAACAAUAAGGAUUCUAUGUCUCCUCCUCUACCGCCUAGAAUCAUGGAAUAUAAACAGUUGGAAGGGACAUAUAAGGAUCACCAAGUCCAAAUCAUAGUAACACAGGUAUAAAAAAAUUUAUUCCUCCAUUACCACCGCCUCCUCCACCACUGCUAUAAAAAUCACCUUUUAAGUCUCUUCCAACAAUAAUGAUUCUAUAUCUCCUCCUCCA